rnacentral:rRNA from 1 species
GAUGAACGCUAGCGGCAGGCCUAACACAUGCAAGUCGAGGGGUAGAAGUCUUCGGGCUUUGAGACCGGCGCACGGGUGCGUAACGCGUAUGCAAUCUGCCUUACACUAAGGGAUAGCCCAGAGAAAUUUGGAUUAAUACCUUAUAGUAUAUUGAUGUGGCAUCACAUUAUUAUUAAAGAUUUAUCGGUGUAAGAUGAGCAUGCGUCCCAUUAGCUAGUUGGUAUGGUAACGGCAUACCAAGGCAAUGAUGGGUAGGGGUCCUGAGAGGGAGAUCCCCCACACUGGUACUGAGACACGGACCAGACUCCUACGGGAGGCAGCAGUGGGGAAUAUUGCACAAUGGGCGCAAGCCUGAUGCAGCGACGCCGCGUGGGGGAUGAAGGCCUUCGGGUUGUAAACUCCUUUCGCUAGGGACGAAGCGUAAGUGACGGUACCUGGAGAAGAAGCACCGGCUAACUACGUG